UACAGAGGUCUCAAGCGUUGUUCGGAUUCAUUGGGCGUAAAGGGCUCGUAGGCGGUUUGUCGCGUCGGGAGUGAAAACACUGGGCUUAACUCAGUGCCUGCUUUCGAUACGGGCAGACUAGAGGCAUGCAGGGGAGAACGGAAUUCCUGGUGUAGCGGUGAAAUGCGCAGAUAUCAGGAGGAACACCGGUGGCGAAGGCGGUUCUCUGGGCAUGUCCUGACGCUGAGGAGCGAAAGUGUGGGGAGCGAACAGG
rnacentral:rRNA from 1 species